rnacentral:rRNA from 1 species
CCCUUAGAUGUUCUGGGCCGCACACGCGCUACACUGAAGGAGGCAGCGUGUACUCCUGGAUCGAAAGAUUUGGGUAACCCGCGAAUCUCCUUCGUGCUAGGGAUUGAGGUUUGCAAUUAUCCUUCAUGAACGAGGAAUUCCCAGUAAGUGCAAGUCAUAAGCUUGCGCUGACUACGUCCCUGCCCUUUGUACACACCGCCCGUCGCUACUACCGAUUGAAUGAUUUAGUGAGGACUUCGGACUGGGACCGAUGCGGCUUUCGGGCUGCGUUGGUAUUUCGGAAAGAUGUCCAAACUGUAUCAUUUAGAGGAAGUAAAANUCGUAACA